rnacentral:rRNA from 1 species
ACGAACGCUGGCGGCGUGCCUAAUACAUGCAAGUCGAACGCUUCUUUUUCCACCGGAGCUUGCUCCACCGGAAAAAGAGGAGUGGCGAACGGGUGAGUAACACGUGGGUAACCUGCCCAUCAGAAGGGGAUAACACUUGGAAACAGGUGCUAAUACCGUAUAACAAUCGAAACCGCAUGGUUUUGAUUUGAAAGGCGCUUUCGGGUGUCGCUGAUGGAUGGACCCGCGGUGCAUUAGCUAGUUGGUGAGGUAACGGCUCACCAAGGCGACGAUGCAUAGCCGACCUGAGAGGGUGAUCGGCCACAUUGGGACUGAGACACGGCCCAAACUCCUACGGGAGGCAGCAGUAGGGAAUCUUCGGCAAUGGACGAAAGUCUGACCGAGCAACGCCGCGUGAGUGAAGAAGGUUUUCGGAUCGUAAAACUCUGUUGUUAGAGAAGAACAAGGAUGAGAGUAACUGUUCAUCCCUUGACGGUAUCUAACCAGAAAGCCACGGCUAACUACGUGCCAGCAGCCGCGGUAAUACGUAGGUGGCAAGCGUUGUCCGGAUUUAUUGGGCGUAAAGCGAGCGCAGGCGGUUUCUUAAGUCUGAUGUGAAAGCCCCCGGCUCAACCGGGGAGGGUCAUUGGAAACUGGGAGACUUGAGUGCAGAAGAGGAGAGUGGAAUUCCAUGUGUAGCGGUGAAAUGCGUAGAUAUAUGGAGGAACACCAGUGGCGAAGGCUGCUCUCGGGUCUGUCACUGACGCUGAGGCUCGAAAGCGUGGGGAGCAAACAGGAUUAGAUACCCUGGUAGUCCACGCCGUAAACGAUGAGUGCUAAGUGUUGGAGGGUUUCCGCCCUUCAGUGCUGCAGCUAACGCAUUAAGCACUCCGCCUGGGGAGUACGACCGCAAGGUUGAAACUCAAAGGAAUUGACGGGGGCCCGCACAAGCGGUGGAGCAUGUGGUUUAAUUCGAAGCAACGCGAAGAACCUUACCAGGUCUUGACAUCCUUUGACCACUCUAGAGAUAGAGCUUCCCCUUCGGGGGCAAAGUGACAGGUGGUGCAUGGUUGUCGUCAGCUCGUGUCGUGAGAUGUUGGGUUAAGUCCCGCAACGAGCGCAACCCUUAUUGUUAGUUGCCAUCAUUUAGUUGGGCACUCUAGCAAGACUGCCGGUGACAAACCGGAGGAAGGUGGGGAUGACGUCAAAUCAUCAUGCCCCUUAUGACCUGGGCUACACACGUGCUACAAUGGGAAGUACAACGAGUCGCAAAGUCGCGAGGCUAAGCUAAUCUCUUAAAGCUUCUCUCAGUUCGGAUUGUAGGCUGCAACUCGCCUACAUGAAGCCGGAAUCGCUAGUAAUCGCGGAUCAGCACGCCGCGGUGAAUACGUUCCCGGGCCUUGUACACACCGCCCGUCACACCACGAGAGUUUGUAACACCCGAAGUCGGUGAGGUAACCUUUUGGAGCCAGCCGCCUAAGGUGGGAUAGAUGAUUGGGGUG